AUGCGCGAGGCGCAGGCCACGCUUUACGAUCCCAAGCGAGGGUGCUUCGACCGCUGCCGCGGCUUCCGCUGGUACAGGCGCGACCCCGCCGUAUUUGACCACGACGAAGAGUCCUCCGAUGUAGGUUUCCCGGUCAGCGUGUUUGGGAAUGUGUUGAUGAGAGAUGACUUGAACUUCAAAUGCAUCUACCUCUUCCAACGUGAUAGAGACAACUGCCAGGUCAUCAACUCACCGGAUGAAAUGCUAAAUCUGAUAGGACCCAAUCGAGGACCGGCAGAUGCUAAUGUUUUCUAUUUUGAGAUCAACCUAAAGAUCAGGGGCGAAGAACCUGCUAUGGAUAGGAUUUUCAGCAGGACCUUGCUGGACCAAGAUUAUCUUCUUAAUGCAUGGACUAAGAAACAACAAGUUUCAAGUUGGCUGAGUAUAUUAGAGUUGGCAUACAGAUCUGUGCACUAUGCCAUGGAAGCCACGGUCGGUGUCAAAAUUUUGAGAGGGCCAAGAUUCUUCCACUGAAGCCUGAUAGCUUCGACCUCCGAAGAUCCUAAUGAGAUGGUGCUAUAUGACAGUGAGCGCUGGGGUGCCAAUACCAAGGUUGCUGAGGACGGGUCGGUGAAUCUAACUCGUUGUCUAGUAAUUCUGCGCGUAGACGAUGAUUUAUUCCUAAAAGUUUGUGUUUUUGGCCGUCGCCAUAGAAGAGCUGAGCCCAAGACCACUGUCUUUACAGUUGAACAUUCUGAUAGAUCAUUCGAUAUAAAAUUAGGUUGUUAUCACUUACAAGUCACCAUGUCCUGGUCAGGCAUUUUGUUGCGCUAG
rnacentral:rRNA from 1 species